GUGCACCCUUGGCAGCACAUGUAACAAAUUGGAACAAUGUAGAGAAGAUAAGCAUGACCCAUGCUCAAGAAUGACACAAAAAUUCAUGAAGGAAAGCCAGGUUUA
ensembl:snRNA U6 U6 spliceosomal RNA